rnacentral:rRNA from 1 species
AUACGGAGGGCGCAAGCGUUGCCCGGAAUCACUGGGUGUAAAGGGUGCGUAGGCGGGGCUGUAAGUCAGAGGUGAAAGCCCUCGGCUCAACCGGGGAAUUGCCUCUGAUACUGCAGCUCUUGAGUCCCGGAGAGGCCGCUGGAAUUCCUGGUGUAGCGGUGAAAUGCGUAGAUAUCAGGAGGAACACCGGAGGCGAAGGCGGGCGGCUGGACGGGGACUGACGCUGAGGCGCGAAAGCGUGGGGAGCAAACAGGAUUAGAAACCCUAGUAGUCC